UAGAAAUCGGCUACUCCAUUGUGCUUUAAAACUUCCAUAGUUACUCCUGUUUUCAAGAGUGGAUGUAGAGAUGAGGUUUUAUCACGGUUUCUUCAGAUACUACAAGUUCGUAUUUUGGUACGUUAACAUCAAAGCUACUAAAAGGAUAUUUAUGAAUUUAUCUACUCCAGCAUCAAGGUCAUCGCAUCCCAAGAACAUCAUUAUCCAGUUUUUUAUAAAAUGCAUUUUUUUAAUUUUUAUUUUAACUUUUUGUGGUAAGACUAUUUGUAGUAAUGUUGUGAAGUGGUCUGUGAUUGUGGUUUCAAGUAUUAUGAGUAAAAUUGUAUCAUAAG